AUAUAAUUAAUGUUAGAAAAAAAUUUGGUUAAAAAAUAAGUUGAAUAAGAUAUAAAAUAUUGAGAAAUAAAAAAGUUGCUUCCCUCGGCAUUUUCAAUGUCUAGUGGUCAUUUGGCUGAUUUUGUCCAUUUCACUACUAUAGGGGGGGAGGGCUGCCCACUAUGCCCGGCCGGGUCCCCCCCGUGCGCCCGGCCGGCUCCCAAAUUUCUGCCCGACCGUCCCCCCCCCCGUGCGCCCGGCCGGCUCCCAAGUUGCUGCCCACCGGCCCAGCCGGUGCCCGCACGUCGCCAAUAAAUUGCUGCCCACCGGCUGGCCGGUGCCCAUCGCUGCCAGAAAUUUGCUGCACCCCGGCUGGCCGGUGCCCACAAUUCGCAGCCCGUCGGCCCGCCGGAGCCCGGUCCGAA